rnacentral:ncRNA from 1 species
UCUGAAUAAAGGCAAACUUAUCGAAAGGUAAGGACGCAAAGCUAUGGGUCUAAGGGAAGCGUUUUUUCUAUGAUUGCCAGGUUGCCGUG